rnacentral:rRNA from 1 species
UACGGAGGGUGCAAACGUUGCUCGGAAUCAUUGGGCGUAAAGCGCACGUAGGUGGCUUGUUAAGUCGGGUGUGAAAUCCCUGGGCUCAACCCAGGAAGUGCACUCGAAACUGGCGAGCUUGAGUACUGAAGAGGGUCGCGGAAUUCCCGGUGUAGAGGUGAAAUUCGUAGAUAUCGGGAGGAACACCAGUGGCGAAGGCGGCACUCUGGGCCAGUACUGACGCUGAGGAGCGAAAGCGUGGGGAGCGAACAGG